AUGCCCUGUGGGCACCUUUUUGGGCCCCACGAAGGCCUCCCUCAGGUGUGGUCAAUGCCAGAGGGGUACUGCCCCUCAGGGCCCCGGAGCCCACCCGCUCCCGCCACCGCAGCACGGGCCCACACUCCCCGAACACCAGUGUCCCUCCUCCCCCCCGCCCCCACCCCAGCUGGACGCGCGGACCCGGGUCUUACCUGCGAGCUGCGCUCGGAGCCCGGCCCCGUAGCCGGCGCGGUCCCGGGGGCCUCCCGCGCGGGGCUACCCGAGCGCUCGGCUCUGCCGGCCGCCUCCUCCUCCCCGUUGUCCCCGGCCGGGCCCCCCGCCGCCCGGAGGCUCCGGUUCCCUCCGCAGCAGCCGGCCGGGCGGCACCGGGGUGCACGCGGCGGGGCUCGGCUUCGGCGCCCCCUCCCCCUGCUGCCCGCCGCCGACUUGGCGCUCGCGGGCUCGGGGUCCGGGAUUCCGGGACGCGGGGGUCGUCGGGGUGCUCGGCUGCCCCGCGCUCCCUCCCGCGCGCAGCCCCUCUCCGGGGGGAGGGGGGGCGCCUGGCUCGCGGCGCGCGGGCGUCACGGGCUCGGGGCGCGCGGGGACGGCGGCGGGGUGGGCCCCGGGGCGGCGGGCGGGGGCGCUGCUGCGGACGCGGGCACUGAUGCGGGCGCCGCGGCGCGGCCUCUCGCCAUGGCUCCCGAGCGGGCGGGCGGGCGGUUCGCACCUCCCCUCCGCGCUGCCGUCACCGCCGGACGCGCGCCGAGCCCUCCCCUUCCACCGCCCCGCCCGCCGGCCCGCGCCGCCACCUGCGGGCCGCCCUCCAGGAUGCUCGCCCGGGGGAUCGCGCUCCGGCUGCCGCCAGCCGCGCCCCUUUGCCCUGCGGCCGCGGCCCUAGGCCUGCCCUGCGCCUUGCCCUUUGCGGCUGGGCUCGGAGAGGGUCAAUCUAAGGGGAGCACGGGACUCGCGCGUGCAGUUUGCCACCAAAGCAAUGGAAGUCCAGGCGUGGCGUUCCUGCAGGUCGUAGAGGACAUUGGGAAGACACGGAGAGGAUUCUGACCAGAACCAAAGACGCAAGGAAGCUGAAGCAUAGAAAACCUGGUUUCAAAUACUCGUAGAGGAUUUGAAGGGUGCGGUAAAGACUGGUUCAGGCAAGAAUCAUCAAUGGAUGCUAAGGGUAGAGCGGAUUUUACUGGGGAACAGAUAUUUCCUUGGCUUAACAUGUCUCUCCAUAUAGAUGGUUGAGGCUUAUAACAGCACGCGGGAACUAUUUACAAAGGAGCAGGUGGACAACAUCUUCCUUCACCAGGUGGUCAAAAUUAACAUCACCAAUGAGAGCAGACGGAGAUCAUGUCCUCAGAACACAUCACCUGUGCGGUAUUCCAGGGAGAACCAACAACCUGAAUCUGAUGAUGACACCUUAGACCAACCCCAAAUGAGGAACAUCUAUUAAAAAGGGGCAGGUAGGGGCUGUAUUCUUCAAACAUGUCAACAUCGUAAAAGACAAAAGAAGGCUUGGAAAUGUUCCAGAUUUAAGGUUGCUAAAAAGUCAUGACAGCUUAAUGUGAUCCUUAAUAUAAUGUGUAAGGAAAGGAAACGCUAUAAAGGAUAUUUCAAUGGACAAAGUUGGAAUCCUGAUAGAUUAAAGUAUUGGAUCAAUGUUAAAUUUGCUGCUGUUGAUAAUUUGUCCUAUGGUCCUGCAGAAGAAUAUCCCUCUUCUUAGAAAUACACACUGAGGGGGCACCUGGGUGGCUCAGUCGGGUGGGCCUCUGACUUCGGCUCAGGUCAUGAUUCCGUGGUUUACCGGUUCGAGCCCCGCGUCUGGCUCUGUGCUGACAGCUCAGAGCCUGGAUCCGCUUUGGAUUCUGUGUCUCCUUCUCUCUCUGCCCCCCUCCCAUGCUCACACUCUGUCUCUCUCUCCUUCAAAAAUAAAUAAACAUCAAAAAAAAUUAAAAGAAAUACA
rnacentral:lncRNA from 1 species